CCUACGGGAGGCAGCAGUGGGGAAUAUUGCACAAUGGGCGCAAGCCUGAUGCAGCGACGCCGCGUGAGGGAUGACGGCCUUCGGGUUGUAAACCUCUUUCNCUAGGGACGAAGCGUAAGUGACGGUACCUGGAGAAGAAGCACCGGCCAACUACGUGCCAGCAGCCGCGGUAAUACGUAGGGUGCGAGCGUUGUCCGGAAUUACUGGGCGUAAAGAGCUCGUAGGCGGUUUGUCGCGUCGUCUGUGAAAUUCUGCAACUCAAUUGCAGGCGUGCAGGCGAUACGGGCAGACUUGAGUACUACAGGGGAGACUGGAAUUCCUGGUGUAGCGGUGAAAUGCGCAGAUAUCAGGAGGAACACCGGUGGCGAAGGCGGGUCUCUGGGUAGUAACUGACGCUGAGGAGCGAAAGCGUGGGGAGCGAACAGGAUUAGAUACCCUGGUAGUCCACGCCGUAAACGGUGGGUACUAGGUGUGGGGCUCAUUUCACGAGUUCCGUGCCGUAGCUAACGCAUUAAGUACCCCGNNNNNNNNNNNNNNNNU
rnacentral:rRNA from 1 species